UGGGGAAUAUUGGACAAUGGGCGAAAGCCUGGUCCAGCCAUGCCGCGUGUGUGAAGAAGGCCCUCGGGUUGUAAAGCACUUUCAGUGGGGAAGAAAGCCUUGGGAUUAAUACUCCCGAGGAAGGACAUCACCCACAGAAGAAGCACCGGCUAACUCCGUGCCAGCAGCCGCGGUAAUACGGAGGGUGCGAGCGUUAAUCGGAAUUACUGGGCGUAAAGCGCGCGUAGGCGGUCUGAUAAGCCGGUUGUGAAAGCCCCGGGCUCAACCUGGGAACGGCAUCCGGAACUGUCAGGCUAGAGUGCAGGAGAGGAAGGUAGAAUUCCCGGUGUAGCGGUGAAAUGCGUAGAGAUCGGGAGGAAUACCAGUGGCGAAGGCGGCCUUCUGGACUGACACUGACGCUGAGGUGCGAAAGCGUGGGUAGCAAACA
rnacentral:rRNA from 1 species